UUGCCUCUCUCCUCAUUAACUACUUGCCACAUCACCAUUUUUGCUUAUGUGGCAUCUAUGUUACUACCUAUGUUACUCCCACUAUGACCAGCCUUAGUUUUGGAUUAACAUUUGCAGGCGUAGGCUAAAUAUAUCAGAAAAUUGUCAUUCCCUUUUGAGUGUCGAUGAUUUUCUUAUCUCAAUUGUUGUACCAUGAUGCAAUUCAUAUUCCGGUCAUUGCGGUGUGAGUGGUCAUGGCGAUGCUGCCUCCCUUGCUAGGCUAGCAGCGACGACAUUGUCUGCAGGUUUGGGUUUAUUUUGGUUGGGUGUGUGCAGACGGGGAGCGCACCAGAGGAGGUGAGCAAUCCCAUUUCUAGUGCUUUUAGUUCUAAUCAAUUUCCACUUCAUUUUGCUUUGUCGCGUUCUUCCCAAAUUGCCAAAUUGGUGUUCAGAGUUCAGUUCUUGCAUAAGCUGCACAUUGGAGAUAUCAGGAGACUGAACACAUCCUGCCAGAAGAGUUCUAGAUACAUCCAUCUUCGAGACAAGUAAUUCCGAACGGAGGGAGUAAUUGGCCACGAAUUGGCAAAGAUUUUGUCAGGUUGCAGUGAGGCUACUGUGCGUGUGGCAUGGAAGAUCAACACUAAGAUUGAUUGGUCAGAGGUUCUGAGUCCAUCAAAGAAGCUAACUAUGGCUGAAUGAAACUUGUCCUUUACCUGAUUCACUAGAGAAGUUUAGGCCUGUAAAAAUCAGAUGUAUAUUACGAAGCUGCUCCUAUGUACAUAUCUGAAGAUUUUCUUUACUGUCCAGAGUCAUUGUACCGUACUUGCUUAUGACUGCUUGAACAUUUAAUUUUAUUAGCAUCGUC